UACGGGGGGUGCGAGCGUUGUCCGGAAUCACUGGGCGUAAAGGGCGCGUAGGUGGUUUGAUAAGGGUGUGGUGAAAGUCCGGGGCUCAACCCCGGAUCUGCCGUGCCGACUGUCAAACUCGAGGACUGUAGAGGCAGACGGAAUCCGGGUGUAGCGGUGGAAUGCGUAGAGAUCCGGAGGAAGACCGGUGGCGAAGGCGGUCUGCUGGGCAGUUUCUGACACUGAGGCGCGACAGCGUGGGGAGCAACAGG
rnacentral:rRNA from 1 species